AUUGAACGCUGGCGGCAGGCCUAACACAUGCAAGUCGAACGAGUGGCGGACGGGUGAGUAAUGUCUGGGAAACUGCCUGAUGGAGGGGGAUAACUACUGGAAACGGUAGCUAAUACCGCAUACCAUCGGAUGUGCCCAGAUGGGAUUAGCUAGUAGGUGGGGUAAAGGCUCACCAAGGCGACGAUCCCUAGCUGGUCUGAGAGGAUGACCAGCCACACGGGAACUGAGACACGGUCCAGACUCCUACGGGAGGCAGCAGUGGGGAAUAUUGGACAAUGGGCGCAAGCCGGAUGCAGCCAUGCCGCGUGUAUGAAGAAGGCCUUCGGGUUGUAAAGUACUUUCAGCGGGGAGGCGUUACCCGAAGAAGAAGCACCGGCUAACUCCGUGCCAGCAGCCGCGGUAAUUC
rnacentral:rRNA from 1 species